rnacentral:rRNA from 1 species
GACGAACGCUGGCGGCGUGCUUAACACAUGCAAGUCGAACGGAAAGGCCCUGCUUUUGUGGGGUGCUCGAGUGGCGAACGGGUGAGUAACACGUGAGUAACCUGCCCUUGACUUUGGGAUAACUUCAGGAAACUGGGGCUAAUACCGGAUAGGGGCUCCUGCUGCAUGGUGGGGGUUGGAAAGUUUCGGCGGUUGGGGAUGGACUCGCGGCUUAUCAGCUUGUUGGUGGGGUAGUGGCUUACCAAGGCUUUGACGGGUAGCCGGCCUGAGAGGGUGACCGGCCACAUUGGGACUGAGAUACGGCCCAGACUCGUACGGGAGGCAGCAGUGGGGAAUAUUGCACAAUGGGCGGAAGCCUGAUGCAGCAACGCCGCGUGCGGGAUGACGGCCUUCGGGUUGUAAACCGCUUUCGCCUGUGACGAAGCGUGAGUGACGGUAAUGGGUAAAGAAGCACCGGCUAACUACGUG